rnacentral:rRNA from 1 species
UAGCCGUAAACGAUACUCGCUAGGUGUCGGCCUCGGUGCGACCGUUGUCGGUGCCGUAGGGAAGCCGUGAAGCGAGCCACCUGGGAAGUACGGCCGCAAGGCUGAAACUUAAAGGAAUUGGCGGGGGAGCACAACAACGGGUGGAGCUUGCGGUUUAAUUGGAUUCAACGCCGGAAAUCUUACCGGGACCGACAGCAACAUGAAGGCCAAGCUGAAGACUUUGCCGGAUUAGCUGAGAGGAGGUGCAUGGCGUAGUCGUGU